rnacentral:ncRNA from 1 species
GACAAGUUUUAUUCUUGCUUAAAUAUUUAUUAUGAAAAAUUGUUAUAUGCAAGUUAUUCCAUAUUUAUUUAAUCUAAAUGAUAAAUAUAUAAUGAUAGCAGUAAUUAAUAUUAGUAAUUUAAGUAAUUUUGAAUUAGUUAUUUUCAUUAAAUAUUGAUUAAAUAUGUGCCAGCAGUCGCGGUUAUACAUAAAAUAUUAGUAAAUAAUUUUUAGUUAUUAGUUAUUAUGAUUUAUUUAAUUUAUUGUGAAAAUUUUUAGGUGAAAUUUAAUUUUUCUUUUUUGAUUAAUUUGUUUAUAAUAAAAGGCUACGAAAUCUAAAUAUUUAAACUAGGAUUAGAUACCCUAUUAUUUUGGAUUUAAAUUUAAAAAAACUUGAGUAGUAUUAGUUAUGAUCUUGAAACUUAAAGAAUUUGGCGGUAUUUUAGUCUAUUUAGAGGAAUCUGUCCCAUUAUCGAUAAUCCACGUUGGACCUUACUUAAUUUUAUUAUUUGUAUACCGCCGUUUAUUUGAAAAUCUUAUUAGAGUAAUUUUCUUAAUAUUUAAUUUUAUAAUAUUUCAGGUCAAGGUGCAGUUUAUAAUUAAGUGGAGAUGGAUUACAAUAUAAUUUAUAUAUGAAUUAUAAAUUGUAAUAUUUAUAUGAAGGUGGAUUUAAUAGUAAUAUUAAGAAUAAUAAUUAAUAUGAUUUUGGCUCUAAAAUGUGCACACAUCGCCCGUCACUCUCGCUCUUAAGGUGAGAUAAGUCGUAACAAAGUAGGUGUACCGGAAGGUGUAGCUAGAUUGAU